UACGUAGGGGGCGAGCGUUGUCCGGAAUCACUGGGUGUAAAGGGUCUGCAAGCGGAUCUGCAAGUCAGAGGUGAAAUCCUGCAGCUUAACUGUAGAACAGCCUUUGAAACUGUUGGUCUUGAGUCCGGGCGAGGAUGGCGGAAUUCCUGGUGUAGCGGUGAAAUGCGUAGAUAUCAGGAAGAACACCGGUGGUGAAGACGGCCAUCUGGACCGGUACUGACGCCCAUAGACGAAAGCGUGGGUAG
rnacentral:rRNA from 1 species